AUUAGCUCCAUUCAAGCCUACAAAUUGCAUCACCCUCCUCCUCUGCCCAGACCUGGGGGCUCCAACACCUUUCGCUAGGUCUGGCUCUGGCCUCUGAGCGAACCUUCCGUACAGUAUGGCGGCUCCCGAAGCCCCGCCCCUGGACAGAGUUUUCCGUACAACAUGGCUGUCUACAGAGUGCGAUUCCCUCCCACUUCCGCCUAGCUACCGGAAGUUUCUAUUUGAAACCCAGGCGGCCGACUUAGCCGGUGGCACGACAGUUGCUGCAGGGCAUCUUUUAAACGAGAGCGACAAGGACUGCGGGCAGGACCGGCGGGCUCCUGGGGUUCAGCCGUGCCGCCUCGUUACGAUGACCAGUGUGGUUAAGACAGUGUAUAGCCUGCAGCCCCCCUCUGCGCUGAGCGGCGGCCAGCCGGCAGGUGAGGGUCCAAGCCACGCCCGGGGCACUGCGGCCUGGCCGGGGAUGGUCUCGGGAGUGUGGAGAUCGAAUGGGUGGCGCGGGCACGGGGAAGGGCGUCCCGUCGGCCCUGAAAAC
rnacentral:sRNA from 1 species